rnacentral:rRNA from 1 species
ACGGCGACCGGCGCACGGGUGAGUAACACGUAUGCGACCUGCCCGUAGCAGGGGGAUAAGCGGAAGAAAUUCCGUCUAAUACCGCGUAAUAUCUUUCGGGGGCAUCCCUGAGGGAUUAAAGGAAGCGAUUCCGGCUACGGAUGGGCAUGCGGCGCAUUAGCUAGUCGGCGGGGUAACGGCCCACCGAGGCGACGAUGCGUAGGGGUUCUGAGAGGAAGGUCCCCCACACUGGUACUGAGACACGGACCAGGCUCCUACGGAAGGCAGCAG